UUUUCCUUCUUUUACAGAAAUGGAAACUGAGGCCCAAGAAAGGUGGUGACUGAUUUAAAGUCAUACAGUGGCAGAGCCCAGACCAGUACUUGGAUGAAGGAAUUGUGAAGAGCUAUUUAAGAGAUCUGAGAAAUUUGGGAGAUGGCUCUGGCUUUUCAAAGGUCAAGGUUCACAGAAGGCCACUUUGGAGGCCACCUAGCACCUGAUCCCCUGUACCAGAACCCUCUUGUGAGAGUGGAGGCCUAUUGAUUGAUUUCUAGGUCCUAACAAGAAACCAUAGACAACAGACUUUCUUGCCAGAGGGAUUCAUGUUUUAAAAGCAAAUGACUGGAGGGUUAACAGAAGAAUUGCAGACCAGAUACUGAAGGAAACUGAAAUGGAGGAGGAAGGCUAUUUGGGAGCAGCAGAACCUCAGACAGUGGUCCAUAAAUAACUGCCUAGUUAAUUAUGUAAUAAGUUUUCUUGUCCUAAGUAAAGAACCCCAGGCUCCUUAGAGGUCCUGCUCUUUGUGACUGACACUGUGUAGGAAGAAACAUCUUGGAGGGAUUCCCAUGCUCUGGUGAGAAUUUCACACAGAAUGUGAAGCUGUGUGGGCAAGAACAUCUUGGAGGGAUUUCCAUGCUCUGGUGAAAAGUAGAGUGUUGGGUGGUUAUCCUAGCCAGGAACACCCAUUCCUCUAAGCAAUGGCCCUCAUUAGUUUCCAACUUUCCACAUGUCCAUAUCUGAGGACAUUGCUUUGGGGAUGAGUGGAGCCAGGUCUAGGCUUCAAAUUGUCUUGCUCCUAUUAGGUUGUAAACUCCUUGAAGAUAGGGCAUAUCUUUUGUUUUUUUUCUGUAUCCCCAGCACUUAUCACAAUGUCUGGUGCAUAAUAAAUACCUAGUAAAUGUUUAUUGAUUUAUUGAUUAACCUUUGCCAUCCAUCAGGGAGCAGAAGAUUAUGGGGUUCUCUUGAUUGAACUUGAGAAAUCUCUUUAUUCUUCUGAUGUUAAAGA